GAUGAACGCUGGCGGCGUGCCUAAUACAUGCCAGUCGAGCGAACAGACGAGGAGCUUGCUCCUCUGACGUUAGCGGCGGACGGGUGAGUAACACGUGGAUAACCUACCUAUAAGACUGGGAUAACUUCGGGAAACCGGAGCUAAUACCGGAUAAUAUAUUGAACCGCAUGGUUCAAUAGUGAAAGACGGUUUUGCUGUCACUUAUAGAUGGAUCCGCGCCGCAUUAGCUAGUUGGUAAGGUAACGGCUUACCAAGGCAACGAUGCGUAGCCGACCUGAGAGGGUGAUCCGCCACACUGGAACUGAGACACGGUCCAGACUCCUAAGGGAGGCAGCAGGAGGGAAUCUUCCGCAAUGGGCGAAAGCCUGACGGAGCAACGCCGCGUGAGUGAUGAAGGUCUUCGGAUCGUAAAACUCUGUUAUUAGGGAAGAACAAAUGUGUAAGUAACUAUGCACGUCUUGACGGUACCUAAUCAGAAAGCCACGGCUAACUACGUG
rnacentral:rRNA from 1 species